rnacentral:rRNA from 1 species
UACGGAGGGUGCGAGCGUUAAUCGGAAUUACUGGGCGUAAAGGGCGCGUAGGCGGCUUAUCAAGUCAGGUGUGAAAGCCCACGGCUUAACCGUGUGAAGUGCAUCUGAAACUGGUAGGCUUGAGUAUCGGAGAGGAAAGUGGAAUUCCCGGUGUAGAGGUGAAAUUCGUAGAUAUCGGGAGGAAUACCGGUGGCGAAGGCGACUUUCUGGACGAAUACUGACGCUGAGGCGCGAAAGCGUGGGGAGCAAACAGG